rnacentral:rRNA from 1 species
UACGUAGGGUGCAAGCGUUGUCCGGAAUUAUUGGGCGUAAAGAGCUCGUAGGCGGUCUGUUGCGUCGGCUGUGAAAACCCGAGGCUCAACCUCGGGCCUGCAGCCGAUACGGGCAGACUAGAGUUCGGCAGGGGAGACUGGAAUUCCUGGUGUAGCGGUGAAAUGCGCAGAUAUCAGGAGGAACACCGGUGGCGAAGGCGGGUCUCUGGGCCGAUACUGACGCUGAGGAGCGAAAGCGUGGGGAGCGAAAGGG